rnacentral:rRNA from 1 species
ACUCCUACGGGAGGCAGCAGUGAGGAAUAUUGGUCAAUGGUCGCAAGACUGAACCAGCCAUGCCGCGUGCAGGAAGACGGUCCUAUGGAUUGUAAACUGCUUUUAUACAGGAAGAAACCCCUCCCACGUGUGGGAGCUUGACGGUACUGUAGGAAUAAGGAUCGGCUAACUCCGUGCCAGCAGCCGCGGUAAUACGGAGGAUCCAAGCGUUAUCCGGAAUCAUUGGGUUUAAAGGGUCCGUAGGCGGCCUUAUAAGUCAGUGGUGAAAGCCCAUCGCUCAACGAUGGAACUGCCAUUGAUACUGUAAGGCUUGAAUUAUUGUGAAGUAACUAGAAUAUGUAGUGUAGCGGUGAAAUGCUUAGAUAUUACAUGGAAUACCAAUUGCGAAGGCAGGUUACUAACAAUGGAUUGACGCUGAUGGACGAAAGCGUGGGGAGCGAAUAGGAUUAGAUACCCUGGUAGGAUAGCG